AUUUGCUCACAUGUGAUAGGGUACUUUUGUUACUAAUAAGUGAUUCUUUAACCCAUUUUACCUUCCUUUCCCGUUGAAUGAUGCUUCUGAAAAUCAUGAGGAAAGCAGAGGCGCUAAGGAUGGCAAAGAAACCCCUGCUGAAGAUGGUGCUGCUGACAAGGGCAUCAAGGAGGGGCCCCAAGUGAUGAACAGAUUAAGGAAUGUAAAGUGAAACGGAAGUGGAGCUGCUUCUCUCAUGCUUCGUGAUGGUUCGCUUGGUCGUGUAGCUUAGUGUAAUGGAACACUGUUUAACCUACUGAGUCCCAAGUGUCCAAUCACCUCUGGAAUUACCGUUACUAUUGUUUAACCAAUAGCAAUUAAUCAGCUGGUAUCGCCGUAUCAGUAGCAUUUGCGUCCCUGAAUGUGUUUCAUUUCAUCUUUUGCGUUUGAGCUGGUUCUUGAUGGCACUUUGCAAUGUCGAUAAUUGAUAGGCCAUGGCUUAUUUGCUCA